ACGCAGCAGGUCGCGCGCCGGGCUGAAGCCCCACCAGGUGACGCAGCCCGCGCCCUCGGACGCCCGUCCAGCACUCAUCCUGCCAUACAAUGUGACCGGAAGAAGACAAACCGAGCAGUGGCCGCGUUCUCGCUGCAUCAACCUCUUCUUCUGGCAUCAAGGUGUGCCACUGGGCUACUGGACGUCUAGGAUUGGCCAGCAUGUCUGACCAGUGGCGCAGCCCGACUCCUGUAGCUCCAUAACCCAUGAAGGUCUUUCCAAUGGGGUCAUUGCUCCCAAGUUUAUCAUAAUCAAACACUGUGAUGACCACCUGCACUUUCUGAAAGAAGACAGGAAAAGCUCUGAGCAAGGCAUUCCCCUCGUCAACACUUGCUACCCGCUACAUUUCAAACUACCUACCUGUAUCUGCUCAAAUGGGACGUCAAAGCUAAAGCUCUCAUUAAAGUAGGGAUUUAGAGUGUUUUUCUUCACCGUUGUCUUUUUCUUCUUGAUCCGUUUCCCAUUUUGCUGAAGAACAAUCUUCACAUAUGGAUCUUACACAAAUGGAAAGGGAGAGUUAACAAUUACACCUCAUUAACGUCUUCAAUUGGCCGAUGAAACAACAAUAUGAAAACGUGAUGGAAGAUUGAUUACCUGAUAAGCCACCAACGUCCAUUUUCUUCAAAUUCUUUGCCUCCAUGAUGUUCACUGUCAGUUUGCCAGCAGUAGGAACAUAUCGUAAAGAAAUGCAAACAUCUCCAAGUUUUUCCUGCUAAACAGACGUCUCUCCACUGUUGCAUUGGCUGGCCCAGAUCCACACUGUUCAUGGGAAUUCUUAUCUCACCAAUUAUAUCAUGCUUGGAGAAACGAUCAAAAUCAAAAACUUCCAGCACCAAAGUCUUUCCACCCAACUCUGCAUAUGGAAUCUAGAAAUAGAGAUACUUUGACAUAGGGGUCUGAGGUUCCUCCCAUGUCCAUAGCAGCGAGGUCCUGAGCUUGAAGGAUGCCCACUAUGAGCUUCAGAAAAAUAAGAACAAGUGACCUACCUGGGAUUCUGUGAAGUUGUAAUCCAGAGAAUAUUCCAGCCUACCCAGCUUUUCCUGCUCCUUCUCCUCUUCCACCCCUUGCUUCUUAACCUCCCCCUCCUACAAGAUGAAAACAUCCAUGCAAUAGAUAUUCAUCUAAAUCAGAAGAUGAAACAUGCCACCAAAACAAGGACAACCACUACAAUGGCUCCUACUGCCCACAUGGGAACUGUAAAAUGAAAAGUAGAUUAUUUGAACAGUUUUUACUUUCAAAAUGGAGUGGAACUCUUUUUCCAUUUACAUGUAUCAACAACAACAAAACCCUUCUGAAGACACUGUCCUUUCAAGAGGAUUUAAGUCUCUCACAUGAUCUGAUUACAUCAAAGAAAAUCCACUUGGAUUCCCUUAAUCUGUCAGUUCCAACAGUAUUGUUGCACAGACACUGCUUUUCCAAAGCUUGGAUAUGUAGUGUAACUGGAAUAACAGUAAGUAUUAUAAAAAUGUAAUAUUUUUCUGUUGACAAUAAAAUAUAUUUCUUUCACAUAGAGCUGAGUAUUUCUACCUUAUUAUUAAACCCUGAACAUAUUUAUCUGGGGAUAGUUUGCUGAGCAUGUGUGUUGACAGCAACACCCUUUUUCACAUAUCAGAUAAUAACAGACUCCUUGCUGGGAGUGGCAGUGUUCAAACAGCCACAGAAAUGGCAUCAUUGCAGCUGUCUGUCAUCAGGGGCUUUACUUAUGACACCAGUAGUAGUUAAAGAGAAAACAACUGUCAUGUUUUCACAUUUUUCUAAUAUAAUGAUCUAGAUGAGCAGUCUAAUGUUGAAUUUCAGAUCAUAUCUUCAAUAUCCAUAUAUCUUUAUUUUUAAAGAAGCUAGAUUAAACAGUACAAAUAUGAACAAAAUUUGUGUAGAAUCCUAGUUUUUUAACAGUUUAUUUCUUCUAUUAUAUUACACGCUUGACUCCAUCAUAUACCUGUGAAUUCUCAAAAUG